UCAAUAUAAUAAUUGUAUUUAGUAAGAGCAGCCAUCUUGCAAAUCGUAGGAUGAGAUAAAAACGAGAUGCCACUAGUAGAAAUUAUCAUAAACGAAAUAAACGGACUGAAUUAGUUGCAACUCUGACAGUGGGAGAAGUUACGUAGUUAGAAACGUGUUCAACAAUACACAACUAAACUGCGAAACAACUGGGCUCUGGCUGAACUAAAUCUGUUCAGCCAACAUCUAAAUAUUUUUUCCGAACAAUUCGUUAUUUAGUUUUAUUGUCUACGUUAUGUAUUGUUACAUUAUUGUUCCCAUUUACUGGACAUUUAUUUCGUAAACGAGUUGCGAUUACGUUAUCUCCGUGGAGUUUGAAGGCUAUCGAAAAGAAUGGAGUAGGAUGUAUGAAUGGCACGAGUCUUGUUAACAGGAAAAGUACGAUGUACUGUACAAGAGGAAGACGUCGCGCGAUACUACAUUGAGAGACUCCUUUAUACUGCUGGAUAAUAGUUUUCCUGAUUGAUUCCGGACAUGUGACGUAAGAAAAACUACAAGAAAUUCCAGAAAAUUCUGUAAAAAUCCUUUCUGAACGGGCUUCAUUGCAAUGUGUUGUCAAGCGUUGCAUAGCUACGUAUACAGAACUAAUGAAAUCCGAGGCAGUAAAUUACGUUUUCUAUCGAAUUAAGAAUAUUAUACACAUUAAUUAAUCAUUCCUACCCCAAAAAUAACACCUCCUAAGUAUCUUAUGACAUCUGUUUUGAUGCCUGUAACAUCGAUUAUAACAUAAAUUUCUUAUAUGUAUCAAAGUAUAACUCGGGUUUACCUUUGCGACGAACUGGUGAACGGUUCCUAUGUCUCUGUUGAAAUUUCUGUUUAGAGUUGUCAUGGCGAAUAGAGGAAAUAACCAAAGGAAGUGUAAGUAAAUCUAAAUUAAUUACCAGAAAUUUUCAUGCAUUUAUUAAUCUAUUUUUCUUCCAAAACGUAUUUCGUGCCACUAAGCCCUUCUUUAGUUGUGUAAUAAAAAGUAUACUCUAAUUGAAGAGUUACCUACAUGACCCUCUGUAUCUCACUCCUUGUCUUUUAACCACCAAAAUUUAAUAGCACCAAUGCUCCUAAUACAGAAACCUUUCUGCAAAAUUUACGAAAAUUUUGACCAAAGACACAGGAGCUGCUAAGCUUCAAAGGGAGUGA